UACGGGGGGGGCAAGCGUUGUUCGGAAUCAUUGGCGUAAAGCGCGUGUAGGCGGUCCGGUAAGUCCGCUGUGAAAGUCGAGGGCUCAACCCUCGAAUGCCGGUGGAUACUGUCGGGCUUGAGUACGGAGAGGCGAGUGGAAUUCCUGGUGUAGCGGUGAAAUGCGCAGAUAUCAGGAGGAACACCGAUUGCGAAGGCAGCUCGCUGGAACGUUACUGACGCUGAGACGCGAAAGCGUGGGGAGCAAACAGG
rnacentral:rRNA from 1 species